rnacentral:rRNA from 1 species
AACCCCUAUCCGUAAUUCCAAACUUUUCANAGAUGGAUAGAGGCUAGUUACAGAGACUGCCGCUGCUAAAGCGGAGGAAGGAAGGGGCCACGGCAGGUCAGUAUGCCCCGAAACUCCUGGGCCACACGCGGGCUGCAAUGGUAGGGACAAUAGGUUCCGACCUCGAAAGAGGAAGGCAAUCCCGAAACCCUACCUCAUUUGUGAAUCGAGGAUUGAAACCCGUCCUCGUGAAUAUGGAAUCCCUAGUAACCGCGUGUCAUCACCGCGCGGUGAAUAC